GCCCGGCUAGCUCAAUCGGUAGAGCGUGAGACUCUUAAGGGGGUUCUCCGAUAUUAUCUCAAGGUUGUGGGUUCGACCCCCACGUCGGGCU